ACACAUACCAAUAUACACACACACACAAUACAUACUUUUUUUCUGAUAAAAAGCUGAUUUUUAUUUAUUUUACUUCAAUGACAUGCAGGUUCACAAUGUUAGAACUUUAACAAUAAUAAAGAGUUGUGGUGAUUUAACACAGAGGCAGACAAAUUAAAAACAGACAUUUGAUGCCAACUCACCAUUACAAUGACAAAAUGAAAAAAUAAGUAGAUAAAGACAUUUCAUCAGAAAUAUUUAUAUAAUUGUCUGUAGGAUGCCUCUCUUUUAUCCUACUUGAUUAAAGAGGUUUGAAGUACAUCAAUAUCUGAUUUUAAGUGGUAAAAAUGUUCACGUCCUGCCUUUGGUGGUGAAAAAGGUUAAAAUAUUAUUGUCAAACAUUUGAGACAGUACUAGUUUUUUAAAAAACUGUUUUAAAAAAAAUAUGUUUGUUUGUUUUAGGAAGACAAAGAUCACAAAGGUUUUUUUUUUAAAACCUAAGGAAAUUAACACUCCUCAUUAUCAUGAUUAAAUAAACUAAAUACACAAACUGACCUUAAAGGAAAACACAAUGUUAUACAGUUUUUUCAUUUAUGUUUAUAUGUGGCGGACCCUGCCACCUUUCUAGCUUCAAACAGUGUUCUUGGGACCUUAUUUUCCUCUGAGAACUUCUUGUUUAAUCAGUUAUGGAAAACGUAAAUAUUUCUGAGUUUAUCAUUAUUACGUCAUUAAAAUUGUAAAUAAUAAAAUUCUGAGUUAGAAAAAAUUCUGUUUAAAAACCACCAUGAUAUGUGAUGGUAUGUGAUAUUCAGCCAUUUCGAGAGGGGUCUGUCUGCAGCCUGCAAGAGAGGGGCGUAACCUGUAGUGGGCGUAACGUGUAGUGUGGGCGUAACGUGUAGUUGUGUAAAUCACGUUGAACCACGCGAGAUGUAGAAUGAGACCCGCCAAAAGCAAGAACAGAACAAGGAAAUACACAAGAGAUGUCUCAAAAACGAAAAAUGGCGAUCGUAUCCAGACUGUGACAGUCUACACCCUGGUUGAAAAGUACACAUUGACAGUGCCAGAGGCUGUGGCCAGGUUCAGAAGGGGCCCACAAUAUGAACCAUGUGAAUUGGAAAUGAUGCAAGCUGACUUGAUGAAACAUUUAUCAGAGGAUGCAACAGAGAAGCUACAAGCCUAUAAAGAUAGAAUGUGAAGAGCCCUCUCCUCUGAGGCAUUUCUUAGCCAGCUAUAAGGUGUAAUAUCUUCAAAGAUUUACUUUUCUUUUUCUUUUGACUCCUCCAAGGAAAUGUGUCACAGCCCUACGGGGGCCUCUAACCAUUCUCUUCUGUUUAACUCAAAACUGUAGUAAAUGGUGCAUUUGUUGGGGACUGUUUUCUGCGGUGGAGUAAUACACAGUGUGUGUUAGACUAGAGCAGUGCACACUUACAAACUGUAGAGUAUGUAUCAAAUGUGAGUAUGUGUGCAUACAUAUGUAUAAACUUAAAUUUUAUACAGGAUAUUGUAAUAGUUUUGUAAUGUAUAUGCAAUUGGUCUGUUUCAUUUCAUAGUUCCAUCAGCAUCAUUUGGCUCCAUAAAACUUGAGACAAAAUGCUGAAAGGCAUUACAGUGUGCAUCACUGCCUGAGUUGGAUGUAAAGAAAAAAAGAGCUAAUCCUUGCAUUUGAACAGCUAUGUUAUUAACUGCUUUAUAAGUGUCCAGUACAAGCAACCGUUCAUCAGGUACAGGUACAUGACAUUUAACUGUUGAUGCACUUUGUUAAAGUCAAAUCACACAACACUUAACAAGUAUUUCCUAACAGGAGAAGCAUUUAUAUUUACACAAGUCUAGGCACUACCAUGCUCGCAAGCAGAUGUUUGUCAGCAGACCAUGUUCUCUCUGUCAUGGCAGUCAAAGAACUAAUAAAAAGCUGAUUUAUAAACAUUUAAAUCACUUGUGCAUUGUGUGUGUGUCCAAGCCUGUGUGUGCGUGCCUGCAAUCACGAGCGUGGCUUGUGUCUAGGAUGGGGGGCACAAAAAAAGUAUUUGCACCAGGGCCUAUCACCAUGAUGUUAAGCUACUGUGGCAGACAAUCUAAAUAAUGUUGCAUCAGAAAGUCGGAGUGUGGCCGAAGUGAAAGAAAGUGGUCAGACAUAAAAGUGGAAGCAAAAAAGCGCCUGUCAUCACACAGGCAGAGCGUCUGUGUCACGGGCGGGGGAACGGCCACCGGAGCUCACCCCGCUGGAUGAAAAACUGGUGGGGAUCAUUGGGGAAUCCCUCCUGAGUGACGUGGUGACGGAGGUGGAGGGGGACACCAAUGCCCCUCGUGCCCUCCAGCGGCUGUGUCCUUACAGAUGCAGUCCUGCAAAUGCAGAGAAACACCAUCACUGCAAUAAAUGAUGUUUCCAGGGAACUGCGGGAGAUAAAAAAUGUCUUUUCCGAGUUAAACACCACCAUGAAGGAAUUUAUUAAAUGAUUGUUUCGUAUUUGUUUCCAUAUCUGUAUUUUCACAAGCGACGCAUCACAUCCAAACGCUGGCGCACGGCACGUGUGAGAAUUAACCUGAUUGACUAACAGUCCUUCAGACUAAUAAUAUAAGAUAAUUAUAGUCUUUAUAUUUACAUAGCAAGAAAACACAGAUACAAAGUGCUUUAUGUGUUAUGCAUUGAAAACGGAGAUGAAACGUAA
ensembl:lncRNA